rnacentral:rRNA from 1 species
CCUACGGGAGGCUGCAGUGAGGAAUAUUGGUCAAUGGGCGGGAGCCUGAACCAGCCAAGUCGCGUGAAGGAAGAAGGUACUUAGUAUUGUAAACUUCUUUUGUCGGGGAACAAAGGCGGAGACGCGUCUCCGGAUGAGUGUACACGAAGAAACAGCAUCGGCUAACUCCGUGCCAGCAGCCGCGGUAAUACGGAGGAUGCGAGCGUGAUCCGGAUUUAUUGGGUUUAAUGGGUGCGCGGGGGGGAGAUCACGUCAGUGGUAAAAUGUCGGGGCUAAACCCCGGCCGGCCGUUGAAACUGGUUAUCUAGAGUGGGAGAGAGGUAUGCGGAAUUCGUGGUGUAGCGGUGAAAUGCAUAGAUAUCACGAAGAACUCCGAUGGCGAAAGCAGCAUACCGGCUCCAUACUGACGCUGAGGCACGAAAGCGUGGGGAUCGAACAGGAUUAGAUACCCUUGUAGUC